GAACAAAGAGAAGUAUACAGGUUUGGAACAAUCUGAGGGCGAGUAAAUGAUGACAGAAUUGUUUAAAUGAUUCGGAAAGACUGCCGAGUGAGUUGGGUUCAGAACGAAUCACAUAAAAAAUGAUCCAAAAGAGUCAAUCGUCUGCGAAUCGGAUCUCAAAUGAAUUGGAGUCGAUGAGCGCAAGCCGUGAAAGCAUCCAUCUCAAAUUGGUAAGUCGGUAUUUACCUUUUUUUUUUUAACCAAAGUGAAAUCAAAACACUUACGGUUUUGUUCUUCAGUGACGCUUUUUCUUUUGCAGUCGCAGUUUCGUCGUCACUGUCCACACCAUCAUCCUUAGCCGUUUUGUCGGGUGGGCUAAUUCCUCCUCCAUCUCUUCACGGGUUUCUAAAUUGAACCACGAUUAAUGUGGAAAGCUUAACAGAGACAAACCAUGCACACCCUUUGCCCACUGACCAGACCUGUUCAGACACAGACGUGUCAUCUUUGGACAUGAGUGAAUUCUCCUCAUAUUCAGAGGGUGAUGCUGUAUCAGAUUUGUUUGGAUCAGAUGAUCAAAUGGCUGAAGGUGCAUAUGACGCAGAGAGUGAAAGUGAGGUUCCAACAGAUGAUCCACUACACAAAAUUGUUGGCAUCUGCUGCUGUGUUGACUCCAAGGCAAGACCUUCAAUGCAGAACACCACUCACGGGUGUGGCUUCUGUCUUCAUCCUGGUGUUUUAGUUGAAAGGCAGGUUAAGUACACUGUGUUAGAAUCUCAACCUGAUGACAGAGACUCAGAGUCUAUGAUGAGAGACAUGGAGGCAGCCUUAGUUGAAGGAAGAUCUGUCAGAGGAGUUAAAGGUCCAUCACAUCUUAUCAACAUGCCGAACUUUGAUAUUGUAUGGGGCUUUGUACCUGAUUAUAUGCAUGCCGUUCUUCUUGGAGUAACCAGACAGUUAACAGAGCUUUUACUUCAGAGUACUGACCAAUUUGUUAUAAAAUUUCAGUUACUUUAUGGAGAGACAACCAUGACUUUUAAUGUACAUCUUCUCACUCACCUUGCAAAGUCAGUGAAACUGUGGGGUCCACUGUGGGCACACUCUGCUUUUGUCUUUGAACGUGCAAAUGGCAACGUGUUAAAGUUGUUUCAUGGAACCAUAUCCGUUGCUGUUCAAAUCGUUAACAAGUUUCUGUUGCAUAAAGCCGUGGCAAGCUUUACAACAAAACACGUGAUCAGUGAUCGGGUUUUAAACUUCUACAGAGAAUGCACCGAGUAUCCAAGAGUGCAGAAAUGUCUGAGUUGGAAGGAAACCACAGUCUUGUGUAGUGGCACAACCAAACUUCCAUUGUGUGAAUGGAAGCUAAAGGCGAAAGAAGUAUGUGUAUAGGAUUAAAGGGCAGGAAAAGAUAAACCAGUAAAAGGUUAUGGGGCUAUGUAAUUUUCAAUUUAUCACAUUUUAUUAGUCCUGCACAGUCUGUAUGCAAUGCCUAAAGAUUCAUACCGUUUCAGUAUAUCUGCAGUAUGAAACUAAACAUGGAUAGUUAUUGAUUGUACUGUAUGUCUGUGUUACUUUUACAUCUGUAUACUAUUCUGAAAACUGUAAAUUAAUACUGAAACACAAAAUCAAAAGCUGACUAUUGUUCAGCUUUGUUGUAUUUAUAUCUAAAUGUAAAUUGAUUAAAUGUAAUUUAUUCAAUAAAUGCACAUUUCAAAGCU